AUUUAAAUUUACCAUUUUGCCAAAUUUUGAUAAUCAAUUAUUGUUUGCAUUGGAAGUUUGUGUAAAUUAAAAUUACUUUAUAUACGUUCCAAAAUGUUAACUGAAUAGUCUGGUCAUUAGAAUAUGUAUUUUUCUUUUCUGUAUAAUAAAUUUUCAAUAUUAUAAUGUAAAACCUAAGGAAUUAUUUUUAAAAUCACAUGAAGUGUUUAAAAUUAGAGAUGCACAUGUACAUCCUAUUAUUGAACAAUUUGUUCAUUCAAUUUAGUAUAAUUUGGUAUUUGUAUGCAUCAUAUACCGGUAUAUAAAUAUAUAGGGUUUUUUCAAUGCUAUUACAUAUAAUAUGAUUGUUAAUAUAUAUCUUCUCUGAAGUGGUUUUCAUGGAAACUCUUAUCUAUUUGCAGUUAUAAACUAUAGAGUAUGUAUGUAGUAUGUAUGUUUCUAUGAAAACAUGCUAUUUUCAAAAUACAUGUACUAGGAAAGAGAAUUUGUGUGUGCGUGUGUAUGUAUUUUAGUGACCAGUAAAUAAGUAAAAAAAAUUUGAUUACUUCAGUAUUGUCAACUUUCAACAAUUGCUUUUCUUUAUCCAAAUGCAUUAUAUAGAAAAACUGACUUUGUGUUGUAAUUUAUGUUGUAUAUGAAAAUACGCAAGUUAAGCUAGAAUUUGUUAUUUGCAGACCAUGCAGCAAUUUUUAUGGGUCUGUUUCAGUUGUGUGGUUUUUUCCUACUAGUCCAUAUAGAUUCCAUUAUUUCCAUUUAAUGUGUAUUAGCCUGCAUUUGCUUAAGUCAAAUGUGCAUUUCACAAUUCCAAAUUUGGACAUUUUACCUAAGUAUUUUUUAAGAACUAUAUCAGAAAUUGUAAUGGCAUCCAUUCCAUAUGUAUCUGAUCAUGACGUACGUAUUGUAAUUUUCUAAAUUGUGACUUUUAUGCUUAAAACUUUCAAAUGUUUUGCUCUGUAAGAAUACAUGUAUUUAUUUUUUUACAUCAUUGAGACUUUAACAUGCAAUAAAAUCGAAUCUUAAGUG
rnacentral:sRNA from 1 species